rnacentral:rRNA from 1 species
ACGCUCGACACCUACGGGAGGCAGCAGGUGGGGAAUUAGUUGGGGCAAGUGGGGCGCAAGCCUGACCCAGCAACGCCGCGUGAAGGAUGGAAGGCUUUCGGGUUGUAAACUUCUUUUAUUCGGGACGAAAGAAAUGACGGUACCGAAUGAAUAAGCCACGGCUAACUACGUGCCAACAGCCGCGGUAAUCUGAGGCGGGCUGGCAAGGC